GUGGAUUAGAUACCCUGGUAGUCCACGCCGUAAACGGUGGGCGCUAGGUGUGGGGAUCUUUCCACGAUCUCUGUGCCGCAGCUAACGCAUUAAGCGCCCCGCCUGGGGAGUACGGCCGCAAGGCUAAAACUCAAAGGAAUUGACGGGGGCCCGCACAAGCGGCGGAGCAUGCGGAUUAAUUCGAUGCAACGCGAAGAACCUUACCUGGGUUUGACAUAUACGGAAAACUGGCAGAGAUGUCAGGUCCGCAAGGGCCGUAUACAGGUGGUGCACGGUCGUCGACAGCU
rnacentral:rRNA from 1 species